CAAGCCCUGGCUGGGAUGAUUUAGUUGGGGAUUGGUCCUGCUUUGAGCAAGGAUGACCUCCUGAGGUCCCUUCCAAACCUGAUACUCUAUGAUUCUAUGAAAAAGCUCCAUGCCUUUACAAAUAAUCCUUUGCUCAAUGCAGGCCAAAGUACAUGUGCCAAUUCGGGAGUUUAAAAGUGAACCCUGUGGCGGAAGCAGUGGAGAUUAAGAACAUUUUCUGAAUCUCUGCAUGAUUUUUUCAAGCUGUUAAGUUUUGAUUAACUUGUAUAUGGAAACUACGUGCACAGUCACGAAAUUUUCUGGAUGAAAAAUUAUCCUUCUCUUUUACGUUAUACAGAAAAUUUUAACCGGUUUGCUUUCUGAGAUCAAACAGAUGAGGAAGAGGGGAACAAAAUAGGUUUCAGAGUAACAGCCCUGUUAGUCUGUAUUCGCAAAAAGAAAAGGAGUACUUGUGGCACCUUAGAGACUAACCAAUUUAUUUGAGCAUAAUAAAAACUCUUAAUGCAACCAUGGAGGCAUGGUAGUGAGUCCAUAGUAUGGUAACCGGAUAAAUUACACAGGAAAAUGUAUUUCUUUCUUAUGUAAUGAUUAGUUUGAAAAGCAACAGAUAACUUUUCUUCAAAAUUAGGGCCAAAUCCUGCCUGUUUUACUCACACAAGUAGCCCCACUGACUGUAGUGCAUAAGAGAAGCAUAAUUUUGUCUUCUAGUUUUUCUAAUUUCAGGUGUGAAAGUUCCAUAUGCUUCAGAGAAUGGUACCUAGAGAGUAAAACUGAUUCAAGAGGCAACAUGUACUACUCUUGGAGCUGUAUUAGGAAUGAAUUCAGCUUUCUGCUCCUUCUUCCUCAUAUUCCUCCAGACAAGCGGAUCCUUCUUAUCCAAUCCCUCUGUAGUACUAUAACUAGAUAUUAGAAUUUACAUUUAACUGAUUAGCUGAGUCAACUGUAGCUGGACUUACAGUAUGAACGUCUUAGACCUUACCUGAGCAAAGACUAAUUGGGAUUCUCAGAGUCUGUAGGCAGCUGUUCUACAAGAUGACCCACAAGUGAGCCUCUCUCUGGCUGAGCCAGUAGGGGUGUCUGCUUUAGAAAUCCCUCUUACCCCUUCGUGCAAUGACAGCAUGAGGACUUGAUUGUUUAUGCUCAGAAAACAGUACUUUUUGAAUGGUAGGCAAAAGUGAUUUUUCAGACUAUAACUGACACUAAGACAAUAAGACAUCUGAACUAACUUAAAACACUCCAUCUCAAAUACAUUUGCAAAAAAUUAUAUAUUUAUGUGCACUACCCCCCAAAGAAUGAACACCUCCCUAACUAAAACAUUUGUAUUUUAUUGUCCUCUGUUAGCACACAAAUGUUUGCUACAUUUAAUUUCUUUCCCAUAAUGUAUCAAACCACCAACAUGAUGGUAACAAUCACUUAUCACUACCAGCCAGGGCCACAUUAGAACUGGUGACCUCCAGGUAUACAAGGUAUAAAGUGUAAGUUAUCCAGCCCCCCAAAUGUCAUUUGACCACUUAAAAUCACCCGAAAACUGCAUAUAUCAGAAACGAACAUAAAUGUAAUUUGUCCCAAAUCUCAACUUACUUCUUUUGAAGGAUUCAUUGGUAAUGUAAAGAUUGUUUUCCAGUAAGACCAGACAAACAGCAUGAAAAAUAGGUGAUAGGCAAUCAGGCACACAACUAAAAUUAAAGAGGGUUAUAAUUAAUAUAUUAUACAGAAGAGAACAGCAACAGCAUAUUAAUUAUAUAUGCAAACUAUCAGCAUCACUAAGGCUGUAAGAAAAUCAUGUGCCACAGUUUUGUUGCAGAAACUGCAACUUUUAACACACACAGCAACUUUUUAGAGUUGCUGCAAAUGUUAGUGGCAUUGUGACCCAUGCACCAUGUUGCAAUGCUACUCAAAUUUGGCCAGCAGGUAGGCUAAAUCCCAGGGAGUGGCACCGCAACUUGGCACACAGGGUUGCAAUGCCAAUCAUUCAGAUUUGGCCCAGCCACCCCUCCAUCAUGCUUUUUUGACCACCAAGUGGGACACAUGGCAUUUCUUCUGUCCUGCUGCCCUACUUUGGAAGGUAGGCUGCAUGUCUUGAACCACAACUUAAACUAUGACUGCAACUUUUGAAAAAAAAAAAUCACUACUUUUUUUACAGCCUUAAGCAUACAGGUGUACAGGUACCCUAAUGAACGCAAAUGUAUCCAUUUAAUACAGUGUAAUGAUAUUGGUAGACAAGAUGUUGCACUGAAACCUUAGACGAAACACAAAUUUACUGUUGUAAAAAAUAAUAUUAAACAUUAAACUGAAUUAAGGUAGUAAAACCCUAAUUAGCAAAAGGAAAAAACACAAAGUACUCCCAGUAUUUUCCUGGAUGCACUGGGUAAACUUAACUGACCCUUCCCUCCCUUUCAGUAUUAUGAGCUAUAUGUGAAAUCGUUAGCUGUGCAAGAAAGGGAAUAUGACAACCUAAACUUUAUCCUGCAUAGGCGAUGAGAAUCUUUCAAAUACUGUACAUGGAUACAUUUGGAUUUGAACAUUAGCCUUAAUGUGUACUAGUUUUUUGUUCAUGGUAGUUUUGCUGUUACACAGUCCAAAUACAGGUUUUUAAAUGGUCAAAACAGUUUAUUCUUUAGAUCCAUUGUGAUGUAUUCUUGUAGCUCUUAAUAGUACAAUCAAGAUUUACCGGGCUGUGGUAUUUUGUCACAUUCUCUAUUCUUACAAUGAGAACUAUGUCAGCAAAUCUGUCUUAAGCGGAUAGUGAAAUUUUAUGAACACCACUCACUGUAUGUCCAAUAAUUGCUCAAUAUUCUUGAUCUCUCUCAUAUUAACAUAUAGCAUAAUUCACUACAAUGAAGGACAAGGCCAAACUCCAGUGCCCACUCCAAGUAGCCUGACCAGACAUCAAGAAGAUGUGCAGGGAAGAAGAAUCCAUCUCAUUCCUCCAGGCUGCAGCAUGCUGUACAGCUGCUACACGCGGCACUUACACACCCCCUAUAUGGUGAAUUGGAGAGAGGAUCUGCACAGAAUACUCUGCCCCUGCAGUGCAAGUGGGUUCUACACCACACAAAAUGUCUGCACACAUCUGCUGCCAUGGCACCCUUGAGGAGUUCCCCCUCCACACCCACACAACACCUGAGCCAGACAAGGAGGAGAAAGAAGAGGACUUGGGAUCAAAUGUUCAAUGAGAUCCUGCAAGCCAGUGCUGCAUCCGACCUUGAGCAAAAGGCAUAGAGGGUGAACACUGCAGAUGGCCUGGAGAAGGAAAGAGCAGACUGGAGAAAGGCUCUGGAGUCCAAGCAGAAAAAGAAGAGGGAGAUGCACCAGGACAUAAUGGGCUUCUCCAGCAGCAAACACAGACUCUUAUGGACCUACAGAUUUAACAAUCACAGGCUCUCCUGUCUUUGCAGUCCAUGGACAUCUCCAUUACAGCACCUCCCUACACCUGCCUUUCAACAUUUUAUGUGGCAUCAGGGGCCUCAUCCCUACCCCUAUUACUCCACUCCGGGGGACAUUAAGACAACCACAGCCUCACAGACACUGACCUGUGAAAGCCACAGUUGCUGAAUGCGUAGGUAAAAUGGACAUGAAUGUUCUUUCCCCUUCAUAAAUUCUGCUCCAUUAAUUUAUUAAGUUUUUAAUAUAUUUGCUUUUAAAUUACA